rnacentral:lncRNA from 1 species
CACCGCUUGCCCUCUCGGAUUCGAACCCCGAUGCGGCUCCCACGGGUCCAGGGUGCCCAGUCCUGCAGCCAGCUAGCCGCCGGAGCCCCUGCCGGAGGAAGCGCUCCCUAGCUGCCGCCGCGGCUGUUUCUGGCGUAAGGUGAAACCGUGGAGACGGAGCUGCGGCGGAUUUCUUCCCCACGCCUCGGUUUCCCCGUCUGUGAAAUGGGGCCCGGCGCGCCUGCCUCCUCCAGGGGGAGGCACUGCGAGGCUCAGAGCUCCUGGAGCUUCCAGUCUAUGGCGUGAGGAAAGCAGGAGGGCGUCUCCUCCAUCAGACCUGGAGCUUCCAGCUCACUUUCUCCAAAGCUCCAGAACCUGGCCCAAGGCUGGGCUGUGCUCUGUCCUUAGGGAAAGAAUGGACGAGUCACAACUGAAUGAAGAGAGCUGAGACAGCAGAUUCGGGACUCAGGGAAGAGCUCCCUGACCACAAAGCCCCAGGUGACUCACGCUGCAGGGAUGCUGCACUCCAAGGGUCCAGAAUGACUCCGCCAUUGGAGUCUGUGUUUCCUGAGUCCGCCUCUCACUGGCAGGUCCUGAGCCCCCUUCCUUCCCAGCACCCACUCUUGGAGCAGUUACCCAGGACUGUGCUGCGGCUGCUGGGGCCAGGGAGAGACUCUGCGCUCCGGCCAGGGGCUUUGGGGACUUGGUUAGGACUAACGCACCAAGCGAGUUGUGCUGAGUGUCGAGACUUCUUCUGGGAAGCUGGAGCUGCUUAUCAUCGCUCCAACUUUCACUAA